rnacentral:rRNA from 1 species
CCCCCGGCUCAACCGGGGAGGGUCAUUGGAAACUGGGGAACUUGAGUGCAGAAGAGGAGAGUGGAAUUCCACGUGUAGCGGUGAAAUGCGUAGAGAUGUGGAGGAACACCAGUGGCGAAGGCGACUCUCUGGUCUGUAACUGACGCUGAGGAGCGAAAGCGUGGGGAGCGAACAGGAUUAGAUACCCUGGUAGUCCACGCCGUAAACGAUGAGUGCUAAGUGUUAGGGGGUUUCCGCCCCUUAGUGCUGCAGCUAACGCAUUAAGCACUCCGCCUGGGGAGUACGGUCGCAAGACUGAAACUCAAAGGAAUUGACGGGGGCCCGCACAAGCGGUGGAGCAUGUGGUUUAAUUCGAAGCAACGCGAAGAACCUUACCAGGUCUUGACAUCCUCUGACAAUCCUAGAGAUAGGACGUCCCCUUCGGGGGCAGAGUGACAGGUGGUGCAUGGUUGUCGUCAGCUCGUGUCGUGAGAUGUUGGGUUAAGUCCCGCAACGAGCGCAACCCUUGAUCUUAGUUGCCAGCAUUCAGUUGGGCACUCUAAGGUGACUGCCGGUGACAAACCGGAGGAAGGUGGGGAUGACGUCAAAUCAUCAUGCCCCUUAUGACCUGGGCUACACAC